rnacentral:rRNA from 1 species
GACGAACGCUGGCGGCGUGCUUAACACAUGCAAGUCGAACGGAAAGGCCCUGCGUUUGUGGGGGGCUCGAGUGGCGAACGGGUGAGUAACACGGGAGUAACCUGCCCUUGACUUUGGGAUAACUUCAGGAAACUGGGGCUAAUACCGGAUAGGAGCUCCUGCUGCAUGGUGGGGGUUGGAAAGUUUCGGCGGUUGGGGAUGGACUCGCGGCUUAUGAGCUUGUUUGUGGGGUAGUGGCUUACCAAGGCUUUGACGGAUAGCCGGCCUGAGAGGGUGGCCGGCCACAUUGGGACUGAGAUACGGCCCAGACUCCUACGGGAGGCAGCAGUGGGGAAUAUUGCACAAUGGGCGGGAGCCUGAUGCAGCAACGCCGCGUGCGGGAUGACGGCCUUCGGGUUGUAAACCGCUUUCGCCUGUGACGAAGCGUGAGUGACGGUAAUGGGUAAAGAAGCACCGGCUAACUACGUG